rnacentral:tRNA from 1 species
GGGGGUUUGGCUCAGUGGUAGAGCAUCUGCUUGACCUGCAGAAGGUCUCAAGUUCUGUUCCCA